AGGUUAGGUGAUAGUGAGUGUCUGCACCUCACUUUCAAAUAUGAGAGUGAUUGUGCCAUGUUUAAGAUAUAGUGUAAAAUAUACUUUAAAGGGGGUUUUCAGUGUUUAAUUUAAUGGCAACAAAAUCUGUAAUCUGAAUCAGAUCUGGAUCAAACUUUGUCAGUUGAUAAAGGAUACCAUUGUAGCUAAAGCUCUCAGAUAUGAAAGAAAUUUGAUG